UACAGAGGUCUCAAGCGUUGUUCGGAAUCACUGGGCGUAAAGGGUGCGUAGGUGGCGUGGUAAGUCAGAUGUGAAAGCCCGGGGCUCAACCUCGGAAUUGCAUCCGAUACUGCCAUGCUAGAGUACUGAAGAGGUGACUAGAAUUCUCGGUGUAGCAGUGAAAUGCGUAGAUAUCGAGAGGAAUACCAACGGCGAAGGCAGGUCACUGGGCAGUUACUGACACUGAGGCACGAAGGCCAGGGGAGCAAACGGG
rnacentral:rRNA from 1 species